rnacentral:tRNA from 1 species
ACUGUGGCUCAGUUGGUAGAGCAGCUGAUUCGUAAUCAGCAGGUCACGGGUUCGAGUCCCGUCAGU